AUAGAUACCCGGGUAGUCCACGCCGUAAACGAUGAGUGCUAAGUGUUAGAGGGUUUCCGCCCUUUAGUGCUGCAGCUAACGCAUUAAGCACUCCGCCUGGGGAGUACGGCCGCAAGGCUGAAACUCAAAGGAAUUGACGGGGGCCCGCACAAGCGGUGGAGCAUGUGGUUUAAUUCGAAGCAACGCGAAGAACCUUACCAGGUCUUGACAUCCUCUGCCAACCCUAGAGAUAGGGCGUUCCCCUUCGGGGGACAGAGUGACAGGUGGUGCAUGGUUGUCGUCAGCUCGUGUCGUGAGAUGUUGGGUUAAGUCCCGCAACGAGCGCAACCCUUGAUCUUAGUUGCCAGCAUUCAGUUGGGCACUCUAAGGUGACUGCCGGUGACAAACCGGAGGAAGGUGGGGAUGACGUCAAAUCAUCAUGCCCCUUAUGACCUGGGCUACACACGUGCUACAAUGGAUGGUACAAAGAGCUGCGAACCCGCGAGGGUAAGCCAAUCUCAUAAAGCCAUUCUCAGUUCGGAUUGUAGG
rnacentral:rRNA from 1 species